GGCUCGUUGGUCUAUGGGAAUGAUUCUUGCUUUGGGUGCGAGAGGUCCCGGGUUCAAAUCCCAGACGAGCCC
rnacentral:tRNA from 1 species